GACGAACGCUGGCGGCGUGCUUAACACAUGCAAGUCGAACGGAAAGGCCCUGCUUUUGUGGGGUGCUCGAGUGGCGAACGGGUGAGUAACACGUGAGUAACCUGCCCUUGACUUUGGGAUAACUUCAGGAAACUGGGGCUAAUACCGGAUAGGAGCUCCUGCUGCAUGGUGGGGGUUGGAAAGUUUCGGCGGUUGGGGAUGGACUCGCGGCUUAUCAGCUUGUUGGUGGGGUAGUGGCUUACCAAGGCUUUGACGGGUAGCCGGCCUGAGAGGGUGACCGGCCACAUUGGGACUGAGAUACGGCCCAGACUCCUACGGGAGGCAGCAGUGGGGAAUAUUGCACAAUGGGCGGAAGCCUGAUGCAGCAACGCCGCGUGCGGGAUGACGGCCUUCGGGUUGUAAACCGCUUUCGCUUGUGACGAAGCGUGAGUGACGGUAAUGGGUAAAGAAGCACCGGCUAACUACGU
rnacentral:rRNA from 1 species